AUUGAACGCUGGCGGCAGGCCUAACACAUGCAAGUCGAGCGGAUGAAGGGAGCUUGCUCCUGGAUUCAGCGGCGGGCGGGUGAGUAAUGCCUAGGAAUCUGCCUGGUAGUGGGGGAUAACGUCCGGAAACGGGCGCUAAUACCGCAUACGUCCUGAGGGAGAAAGUGGGGGAUCUUCGGACCUCACGCUAUCAGAUGAGCCUAGGUCGGAUUAGCUAGUUGGUGGGGUAAAGGCCUACCAAGGCGACGAUCCGUAACUGGUCUGAGAGGAUGAUCAGUCACACUGGAACUGAGACACGGUCCAGACUCCUACGGGAGGCAGCAGUGGGGAAUAUUGGACAAUGGGUGAAAGCCUGAUCCAGCCAUGCCGCGUGUGUGAAGAAGGUCUUCGGAUUGUAAAGCACUUUAAGUUGGGAGGAAGGGCAGUAAGUUAAUACCUUGCUGUUUUGACGUUACCAACAGAAUAAGCACCGGCUAACUUCGUG
rnacentral:rRNA from 1 species